rnacentral:tRNA from 2 species
GCGGGCAUCGUAUAAUGGCUAUUACCCCAGCCUUCCAAGCUGAUGAUGCGGGUUCGAUUCCCGCUGCCCGCUCCA